GUGGCUUCCGGAGCUAACGCGUUAAAUCGACCGCCUGGGGAGUACGGCCGCAAGGUUAAAACUCAAAUGAAUUGACGGGGGCCCGCACAAGCGGUGGAGCAUGUGGUUUAAUUCGAUGCAACGCGAAGAACCUUACCUGGUCUUGACAUCCACAGAACUUUCCAGAGAUGGAUUGGUGCCUUCGGGAACUGUGAGACAGGUGCUGCAUGGCUGUCGUCAGCUCGUGUUGUGAAAUGUUGGGUUAAGUCCCGCAACGAGCGCAACCCUUAUCCUUUGUUGCCAGCGGU
rnacentral:rRNA from 1 species